GAAGUAACAUAAUACAGAGAAGAGAAGAAUUCCAGUCUAUUCUUUUCCUUUUUUAUCUUGGUAUCAGUGCCCAUGACUAACGUCAAUGAAGAAUCCUCAAGCUUCCGAAGAGCAAUCCUCUACCACAAAUCCCAGUGCUACCAUUCCAACUACUACCAUCUCUUCUUCCCCUGUCAUGCGCAUACCACCACCAUCACUUUAUCUUCCUUUUCCUACUUCCUUAGCAGCUUUUCCCCUUGCUCAGCCCAUGAUUAGUCAAGCCCCUGGCAUCUUUCCCUCUUCUCACUUAGCUCUGCUUACCCUUAAACUUGACUGCAACAAUUAAUCCUUCUGGAAAUAUCAAGUCCUUCCAGCCCUCAGAGCUCAUGAACACUAUGGAUACAUUCUUGGUACUAAAUCGUGCCAUCCUCAAUUCGUUGAUCAUACCACAGGUGGUACCAUAACUGGGCAAUAAAUUUCAGAUGAAGAGCUUAUUUUGUAUAUUUUAGGUGGCCUCGGUCAUGAUUAUGACUCUAUUGUGGGUAAUCUUACCUCUCAUCAUGACAAACUAACUCUUCAGGAGCUGCAAUACAUGUUGCAGAGUCAAGAUAUGCGUAUGGAUCAACUAAAUAUACCUUCUAAUCACACUGCUCCCAGUGCAAAUAUUGCCACUUAGAUGAAGAAAACACUCAACUUUUCUAGCCCUUCAUCUCCUUCAUUUAAUGGUCAUGGCUUCUCUACUCGUGAUCGUGGUGGUGGCCGUAGGGGUCGUAGAAAUCUUCCUAUAUGCCAAUUGUGUUCCCGUCCAGGCCAUGUUUCUUCAAAAUGCUAUCAUCAGUUUGAUAUCUCGUUCUAGACCCCUAUUGGUUUCUCACCUAACAAUCAGCCACAUACUAAAAAUUUUGGAAAUUCGAAUGCAUGGUCAGCUGGCCUUUCUUUCCUCCACUGAUAACUCAAAUGAAAAUGCCUGGUACAUUGACAGUGGAGCUACAAAUUACAUUACUGCAGAUGCUUCAAACUUGCAGCAAAAAUCUUAUUUGAAAGGUAUAACUCACUUAGUUAUUGGUAAUGGCCAAACUUUGUUUAUUACUAAAAUUGGCAGCACUGAUUUAUUUGUACCUCAUUCUUCCAAAGCUUUUCAUCUCGAGAAUAUCCUUUGUGUCCCUCAAAUUACCAAAAACUUGUUAUCUAUUUCUCAAUUAGCCAAUGAUAAUGAUGUUUUUGUUGAGUUUUAUGAUGAUUAUUGACCUGAUUGUUGGGAAAACUUAUACAAGAUCUUUAUUUAUUUUCA